AUUGAACGCUGGCGGCAGGCCUAACACAUGCAAGUCGAAUGGUAACAGGAAACAGCUUGCUGUUUCGCUGACGAGUGGCGGACGGGUGAGUAAUGUCUGUGAAACUGCCUGAUGGAUGGGGAUAACUACUGGAAACGGUAGCUAAUACCGCAUAACGUCGCAAGACCAAAGAGGGGGACCUUCGGGCCUCUUGCCAUCAGAUGUGCCCAGAUGGGAUUAGCUAGUAGGUGGGGUAACGGCUCACCUAGGCGACGAUCCCUAGCUGGUCUGAGAGGAUGACCAGCCACACUGGAACUGAGACACGGUCCAGACUCCUACGGGAGGCAGCAGUGGGGAAUAUUGCACAAUGGGCGAAAGCCUGAUGCAGCCAUGCCGCGUGUAUGAAGAAGGCCUUCGGGUUGUAAAGUACUUUCAGCGGGGAGGAAGGGAGUAAAGUUAAUACCUUUGCUCAUUGACGUUACCCGCAGAAGAAGCACCGGCUAACUCCGUG
rnacentral:rRNA from 1 species